AAAGUCGUAACAAGGUAACCGUAGGUGAACCUGCGGUUGGAUCAUUAACAAAUCCAAUUUUGCGCUUCUCAGCGCAUCCAACAUUUUGUGCACUGUAAUUGUCUUUGGCGGGUUGUGUUUGCUUGCUUUUAAGAUGGGAGAUUUUUUCCUCAUCUUAACAAGACGUCUGCCUAAUGGCAGACCAGCCUGUCCGUCACUCCCUCAACGGGGUUUGGCAACUAUAAAAACACAAUGAAUUUUUUUUUCUAUGUCUUAAUCCUUUCUGCGAAAGCCGAAUUGUAUAUUAAAAUUAAAAACAACUUUUGACAACGGAUCUCUUGGCUCUU
rnacentral:misc_RNA from 1 species